GGUCGGAUGGUGUAGUUGGUUAUCACGUCAGUCUAACACACUGAAGGUCCCCAGUUCAAACCUGGGUUCGAUCA